rnacentral:tRNA from 1 species
GUGCUCUUAGUUCAAUUCAGUAGAACGUAGGUCUCCAAAACUCGAUGUCGUAGGUUCAAAUCCUAUAGAGUGUG